rnacentral:rRNA from 1 species
AUGUUUAGGCCGAACAAAGAUCAAGAAUCAGAACACGUUGGGAAACAACAGCAGCAAGGGAAGCCUCUCCAUGUGGCAGACGCAGAUGCACAAAUCGAGCUACUAGCUGAAAAUGCAACACCAAAUCAACCUCAGUCCGGCAGAGCUCCGGCAGCGACCUCGCCCUCCACACCCUUCUCGUCUUCCCUCCACACCUGGCAGCAGCCAGCAGUCACAUCCCUGCCGGAAGAACGAAUCAACGAACCACACAUACUCACCUCAGGUAGAAGACAUAUCCUGCUCCCCUAUGCACACGGCUCGUCGAGAAUCACCUGGACUAGGUCCUUCACCUCUGGCGUUACCUGA